rnacentral:rRNA from 1 species
UACGUAGGGUGCGAGCGUUGUCCGGAAUUAUUGGGCGUAAAGAGCUCGUAGGCGGUGUGUCGCGUCGGCUGUGAAAACCCGGAGCUCAACUCCGGGCCUGCAGUCGAUACGGGCCGACUUGAGUGUUGCAGGGGAGACUGGAAUUCCUGGUGUAGCGGUGAAAUGCGCAGAUAUCAGGAGGAACACCGGUGGCGAAGGCGGGUCUCUGGGCAACAACUGACGCUGAGGAGCGAAAGCGUGGGGAGCGAACAGG